GCUUGUACUUGUAGAAGCCCUGAAGUUUGUCCAGGUCUCAAGUAAAGACUACAAUUUUAGAACAGAUCAACUGAAAUCAAUUCGUCAAGAUAUGACUAUCCAGAACAUAGAGGAUGAACUUUCUGUGCAGGUUUAUGAGUAUCAUGCAAGACUUGCGUUGUGCAAUCGAGAUAUGGCUGAACUUAACUUGUGCCUCACGAAGCUGCACUGCCUCUAUGGGAAUAAGCGGAAUGGUGGCCAUCAUGGUGAAUUUGCAGCUUA